UUGUGAAAAAUGAAUACAAAAUGAAAGAAGAAAUAAUGUGAACAACAUUCAUAAUAUGUUGCGAUAUAAUUUCUGUAUUUGUAAAAAACUAAAUGUUUCAGAUUCAACGUCAGCAUGGACCAUGGUAUUUACUAGCUUCUGUGAGAAUAGAAAGGGAAGUAGAGAAAAAAAACCAUAAUUCAAUACUGAACUUGUUUGUGCAACAAGACAACCAUGUAUAGCCAAUCUACUAGCCACAACCAGCCUGCGGAGGAGAGGAACAAUUUUGUGAGGUACCACACACCACUGAUGAGGAAGUGCAAGAUACCAUAUCACUGAUAAGGAGCAAUGGUGCCAAGAUACCACACCACUAUACCACAAAACUGAUGAGGACCAGUGGUGCAAGAUACCAUACCACUGGUGAUGACUAGUGGUGCAAGUUACCAUACCACUGAGGAUGACCACACAGCCCGAGUGGAGUCAUUAAAAUAAGUUUUAAAAUGUAAAUUGAAACUGAACAUUUCCGGAUAACCUAAACUUAUCAAAAACACGAAGAAGAGUUUAAAAACAUAGUCUAAUUAUGUUAGUUUUUUGGUUUUUUUUUCUGGCAUAAAACAAUAAUUGUAAAACAAAUUCUGAAUAGUAGGAAAUGUUCAAUUUAAUCGAAAUGGAGAAAGUUGGUAUAAGUACAUUAUGUCAUUAUUUUGGGAAAUAUUUCAUUUUCAUUGAGACAAAUAUUGAUUCAGAAUUCUUUAUUGUUAUAAAAUUGAUAGUUCCCUUAAAAUUCAUGUUUCUUAUGUUGUUAAAAUAAAUAUGAUUAAAUAGGUUUUAACUGUAAAUUUGUAAAUUUAUCUGAAGCACUUAAAUUUUUUAUUCUUAUUUUAUAUAUAUAUUAUCAAAUUGAUGUGCUUUAUAAUUUAGAUAAAAUAAACAUCUAAUUUGUGCAGUAUACAUGAUUGGUCAAUUAAAAAAUGCAAUGAAACUUGUGUUAUAAAUAUUUACAUAUGACAUUGUGGUGCUUCUGAUAGGUAGAAUGUUUUAUUUUGUUAUAAAAUGCAUUGUAUAAUAUACAUUGUAUAUAUAUUAAAUGAAGACAAUAUAAUAUAAUAUUAUCUUACCAAAUAUGGAAAAGGAGAACACAAUUUUUGUUUACAUAAUCAAAUCAUUCAAAAGUAUUUAAUUUAAAAAAAAACAACCUUGUUUUGGUAUACAUGUUACCACAACAAAUCUUUAAUUGAACAUUCUUAAAAAUUGUAUUUGAGGAAAUAAGAAUUCCCUUUUUCAUGUUUUGAUAUAAUUUUUAUUGUUAAUAAGUAUAAUAACUAUACUUCGGAAAAUGAAGACAAACUAAUUUACUAAACUAAAGCCUGGUUCUCACCGUUAGCGCUAACCGACCGUUUUCGGUUAGUAAGUUGAGCGCAUUUUUUUUUUCCAUUAACCAAUCACACGUACGCGUGUUUGUUAUUGGCUUAUUGGACAUUUGAUCAAAUAUUGGUUGCAAGAUUGCAAGAUUUGUAUGUCACGAUUUUGCUACCAACAUAAAUUGUUUAAAUUUCCAAAUUACAGUGCUGCAAAAUUUGAAACAACAAAUCCAAUAAUUAUGAUGUCUCCAUUUUCCAUGUUGUUUAGUUUAGCUAAUGAGCAAGAAACAAGACAGAUAUUUUAUGUAAAUUGAUUUGAUAUCAAAUUUCUGGUUGAGUAUUCCUAUAAUAAUUAUUUUACUUCAUUGGUUUUUGGUUUACAAUUCCAAAAAGUUUCUCUUUUUUGUAUAUUUUAAUAUACGUAAAAUUGAAAUGUUUUGGUUUUGGUGAUGAGGUUAUUUUUUGUUCUUUUCUGGUGUAAGCAAUGUUGUUGUUGUUGACAGUUUAUAAUGCAUGGUGAGGCAGCUGACAUUCUCAUUCAACUGGAAUCGGCUAUUUUACUAUGCAAUUGUUCUAAUAAUUUGCACGGUAUGGGUUUUUUUUUAGUGUUCUCAAUGCACAUUGUACAAUGCACUUCUCCGCAACCUCCUGCACGCCCUCAUUACUGGCUGCAUGGCGGUAAUUGCUUCAUGCUGAGUUGAAAUUCUGUAGUUCUAAGUGUAUACAGAAGAUUAUUGAUGCCAGCUGGGCCAAGGUUGUAAAGGUUUGUUUUACGAUUUGAAGAUGAUUUUAGAAUAUUUGCUGCCAGCCGUGAUAUGAAGAGCGAUCGAUUCAGUCUGAAGAGCAGCAUAGAACACUAUGCAUAGUUUUAGUGGUGCCAACCAGAUUAACCAGUUAAUUUAGGCAACCAAAAGCAGCAUGGUUUUUGAUACGGAAUUUGAUAUUUUAAAUACUGUACAUUAAAAUAUAUGCAAAACCAAUUUGUAAUUCUUGAUUUGAUCUAAUUGAAUUAUUAGAAAUAUAAUUCCCAUCCUUGGUUCGAGGUUUCUUCGAGUAUUUGCUGUCUCAGGCGAACCUCUGGGGGAGGGGGUUGGCUGCACAGUGGCGUCUGCAGCCCCUACUGGACUGGUCAAUCCCCCAUCCAACACAGCUGGUCGGGCAGUCGGACUAAAGGAAAAAUAUAAAAAUAGGCCCAUGCCAAGCCAACAGUCAAAUAAAUACAAAAUUGAUUAGAAUUCUCUGGUCUUUAUUUGUGUCUGUUCCAUUCUUUGCUGGCAUACAGCAUAAUUAACAUUACUGACACGUUUUUAAUACUUCGAUACGUUAAAAUAUAUACGAAAGGCAUCUCGGCUUCUUAAGAUGGGUUCACAGUUCACAACAGAUGGCGUUACAGAGCGAUGACUAUUAUUAUAAAAUAUUUCAUUAUGCAAUUUUGUGAAAAGUUAAAGAUUGAAAUAAAAAUCAAAUAGCCGUGCAUAGUAAUACAGUCACGUUUUCAAUACUUAUUUAAAAUAAAUCUGAAAGGCAUCUCGGCUUCUUGAUGAAAUAUAUAUUUCAUUAUGCAUAUCUGUGAAAGGUUAAAAAUUAACCAAAAAAAAUUGUUGAAAUAAAUAAAAAAAAUCGAAUAGGCGUAACAGUGCACAGUAAUACAGUAGAACCCUUCAUUUCCGAACGUAAAAUCAUGUCAUUGUUGUCAUAAAUAAAGUUCCUAUUUCAUGUACAAAACACAUGCAUGUCAAGAAUUAAUCGUCAGGCGUGGAGUCUAUUCACUCGGUCAUUAGACGGUUUGCUGUACACUAUCAGCAAACAUUACACCGACAUUCGACACACCGAUCAACAACUGCAACUGUGAGAAAACUCUGCCCAAUGCACAAGUUGAACAGACAAAAUAAUCUACCCACCUACCAAAAUUAUUUUAACCAAUGAUAUUUGAAUAAUUUUAAUUAAAAAUGGAUUUUAUUAUCAAAUCUCACUAAUGUUAAUUUUAUUUCCCUCAUAAAAUAAGACACCGACACCCACAUUUUUUAAAAACUUUAUUAUUAAUUACAUAAAUGUUAACGUAGGCGUAGAACAAGCGCCAAGUCCAAGUGUCGUGUCUACAGCCAAUCAGCACUCUUCUUUUAACAAGUGAACCUCUGGUUUCCGGGUUAUUCUGUAUUUACUUGACGCUACCAGCACACGGAUCGAGUGGAAGACGUUGCUGCGUUGCUCGCCCUGUCUGAGAAAGAGAGAAUAAAGUACACAUACACAUUAUAGUAUUGUACAUUUAUGAUCGUUAUUUUGAAUUUCUUUUGAGUGCGAGUUUUGGCUCCAAUCCAACAAAAUUCCAGUGCAGGCCAGCAUAUCGGUAGUGUAAAUGCAUAGGAAUUUCACACAACCCUGAUUUUACAUACGAAUGACUUUUACGAACAUCUCUGGACCCGUCCCGUACGUAAAUGAAGGGUUCUACUGUAUAUAAGAGAGAUCUUGAGAACAUUAGCCACAUUCAGAUUAAGAAUUGCAACAUUUUCAAUGUGGCCCUACAUAAAACCAAACAAAGUUUAUAGGGUAAAAAUGAGGCUAAAUUGACAU
rnacentral:lncRNA from 1 species